rnacentral:tRNA from 1 species
AUUUAUAUAAUAUAUUUAGUAUAUUUGACUUCCAAUCAAAGAGUUUAAAAUCAAUUUAAUAUAAAUA